rnacentral:rRNA from 1 species
CCUACGGGAGGCAGCAGUGGGGAAUAUUGGACAAUGGGCGAAAGCCUGAUCCAGCAAUGCCGCGUGAGUGAUGAAGGCCUUAGGGUUGUAAAGCUCUUUUACCAGGGAUGAUAAUGACAGUACCUGGAGAAUAAGCUCCGGCUAACUCCGUGCCAGCAGCCGCGGUAAUACGGAGGGAGCUAGCGUUGUUCGGAAUUACUGGGCGUAAAGCGUGCGUAGGCGGUGAUUCAAGUCAGAGGUGAAAGCCUGGAGCUCAACUCCAGAACGGCCUUUGAAACUAGAUCGCUAGAAUUAUGGAGAGGUAAGUGGAAUUCCGAGUGUAGAGGUGAAAUUCGUAGAUAUUCGGAAGAACACCAGUGGCGAAGGCGACUUACUGGACAUAUAUUGACGCUGAGGUACGAAAGCGUGGGGAGCAAACAGGAUUAGAUACCCUGGUAGUCCACGCCGUAAACGAUGAUAACUAGCUGUUCGGGCUCUCAGAGCUUGAGUGGCGCAGCUACGCAUUAAGUUAUCCGCCGUCGGGAGGUACGGUCGCGAGAGUUAAACUACGAAAGAAGUUAGUACGGCGUGAGACGUCGCGACGGACGACGACGAGGGAGAGG